GCUGGCGCGGUGGCGCAUGCCUGUAGUCCAAGCUACUCAGGAGGCUGAGUCUGGAGGAUCGUUUGAGUCCAGGAGUUCUGGGCUGUAGUGCACUAUGCCAAUUGGGUGUCCACACUAAGUUCGGCAUCAACAUGGUGACCUCCUGGGAAUGGGGGACCACCAGUUUGCCUAAGGAGGGGUGAAGCGGCCCAGGUCAGAAACAGAGCAGGUCAAAACUCCCAUGCUGAUCAGUAGUGGGAUCGUACCUGUGACUAGCCACUGCACUCCAGCCUAGGCAACAUAAGGAGACUCUGUCUCU
rnacentral:SRP_RNA from 1 species